AAAAACGCUUCACCCAGCGAGCCUCUCCCUUUCUCUCCCUGCAUGAAUCGCUCCUGUCCCUGAGCCCCUCGCACGCGCUAGGGUUCCUCACGCCGCCGUCGCCGCCAUCUCGCACCCAACCCUAGCGUCGCCUCGCCAUCCCUCACCACGUCCCGAUCCAUCCCCUCUCCCCUGAAUCACCCCGCUGCACACAAUGCUUUGACUUGAUGUCGCCUGCUGACGAACUGCGGCGGCACAUCAGUUGUGGACGAGCUGCGGCGGCGCAUUGGCAUUGCUUGGUGAGGGGAAAUAUUGCCUGGAGUCUGGGAAAGGCGCGGGUCUGUCGCGCCAAUCGCGGGUUUCAAGCAGGCACCGCAUCAUGCAUCUCUUGCCCGCUGACGUGGGAUCGAGUUCGCGCCACGCCCCAAGCCCACAAUCCUCUGCGAUGAGACGCCGUGGGACGCGACCGCGACCACCAUCCUCCUCGCUCGCGCUGCUGCCGAAUCACAAGCUCGUCAUGGUCCUCUUCCCCCUCAAGCACAUCCGCCGGCAUCAUGGUGCGCCGCUUCGACCUCCCGUCCCAACUGCUGCCGCGCACAUCUUCUGCAAGGUCUGCCAUGCCUUCACCGACCGCCGGAGAUGUCACUACCCUCCGCAUCGACCAGGUUCAAGGUCUGUGCACUCUCCAUCCUUUUCCUUACCAAUGAGCAACAUCAGGAUACAGCACUAGCCUGUUAAAAUAGAACCAAAUGCCUCUAUUCGUGCAUCUCUCUCUGUAUGUGGAUAAAUGGGAAGCUGGGUUAUUUGAUAAAUGCACACAAAGAGCAUGAUCUGUGGUUCUGAUUCUUCAUGAUUGGUUUCUUCCUUCCUUAAGAUGCAUAGGAACAUUUUCAGAGGAUGGUAGGUGGUGUUCAUGGCAGCACCAUCGUGGUCAUCUUUCUACACCUCUACCUCCACUGCCCCUCUUUGGUCCUGCUGCGAGCUGCAAGAGCAGGAAGACACAGAAGUUGGAGUGCUAGCGAAGGGAACAUGUAACAGGUGCUGUCCAUCUGCAUAUGGUGGUGGCAGCGUGGGUGGUAGACUAUGCGGACACUGGCACCGGCAAUGUCGUCUCACAUCUUUUGUUCUCCUUAAUUAGUUCUCAAGCUAUUUGUGAUGAUGCAAUUUUGGGCUAUGUGUGCGCGCUACAGAAAAUAGAAUAAGGAUAAUGUUGAUGCUUAUAUGUUCAUGCAAUUUUUUACUCUUGUAGUUGCUAAUGCACUCAUAUUAUUUUAAGUUCAUGCUCAUGUAUUGUAGUUCUACAUCUCUCUCCACCUCCUUCGAUUUGUUGCAGAUUUCUUCCAAGCAUAGUGAGUUGCUUAUAUUUCAAUGUCAAUUUUAAUUCUUGCAGCUGCUAAUGCAUAUUUUUUGUUCAUGCACAUGCAUUGAACAGCUCCCACAUCUCUCUCUGUCUCCUUUGGUUUGUUGCAGAUUUUUCCUAAGUAUAGUGAGUUGUUAUUCUCUUGCUUUUUCUGUUCUAUCAUAUACUGAACUUGGUACAUCAUUAUAUAAGCAAGUAUCGAACAUCAGGAUGUUAAAGAAGAGAUUUCAGAUAUCAACGCUAAUAUCAUCAAGGUUCAGUCAUAUACAUAAUCAUUUUCACACUCCGGCAACAUUAGAUACUACACAGUGCGGAAGGUUAUAAUUUUGAAUUUGACAUUAUAAGUUUCAGACAUUUCUUGAUAUGGGUGGUGCUGGUAGACAAAAUAAAGUAAAUUACAUGGGGCAAUUGAGUGAGAGGCCAUUAUUGUUGGCAUGCCUUUGGAAGUUUGUCCGCAAAUCUUGAUAUAGUCUGAAGCUUCUCGGCUAUGCACAUUUUGGGAGGAAUUGCUCAUGAACCCAGAGUGGUAUCCCUUCAAGAUUGACGUAGCUGGAGACAUCAAGGUGCGCCGAGUUCUUUUACAGACCAUAUCUAUUUUCCAUUGAUUCUUGGAGGUGAGAACUGAUAAAUUAUAUGCUACACUGCUACUUGCACGGAUUGGGCUUGUAUCUAGCCUCCCUUUCUUUGUUCUGAGUCAUUGUUAAUCAUCCCGACAACCGGACCAGAGUUGGACGAUGCUAGAGGAUUGGGCUUGUAUCUAGGAGCUUGUUGAGUGAUAAUGUUGAUGCCCCAAUGUUGUUGCAUCCUUUGUUCCUUCCAUUCCCGAUGGGGUCCGUUAGGCCUCUCCAUCAUCACCCACGUCCAAGGCUCCAAGCACGGUGUGAUGGGUGUCCUGAACCGUGUUUUUGCUCUUCGCCUGGCACUUCGUGGCCUAGUGGGUUUCGACCGCUCCGGGAGCUACCUUUUUUUGCCCAUGGGUGCACCAGUUGUGCGCUAUGUCCCUCACCCGCGCCUACCAGGCGCCGGCAGCGGAACGGUGCUUUCUCCGGGACGCUGCCUGUCGAAGGGGCAAGUAGGAUCUAUGGAUGCUAGCAACUAACAAGGUUGUGUAGGCGGCAACACAGGUGAGGGGUCGCAUCCUCAUCCCCAUCCCAAUUUCUGUCUAUAAUAUUAUAAAUUAGACUAUAUGACAUCGCUUCCCUUUGCAGCUGACAUGCACAUGCACCAAGGUUAAUUAGUAUUAAAAUCCAUUCUGAUAGUUAAUAUUUUUCGUGUGAUUCAGUUCAAACUUUUAUCACACUAAGUACUAACUUAUAUUGAUAGUAUACAAACCGUAUGACAUAAUCAUCCGUUAUGGUUGUGAUUUUGUAAUUAUCUCCAAACAAAAAAAUAUGUACUGUACAAAAAUCAUAAACAAGCUAAUAAACAUGAAAGACUAUUUUCUGAGGUGCUAUAUCUUUUUUUUGCUGGGUGAGGUGCUAUAUGUUUUAUUUUCACAAACAAAGCUUUUAUUUUGACAGUUUAUACAUCUUUUAUUUCCAACAAAGGGAGUAUGGUACUGCAAUCUCAAAGAAUCAUAUGUUAGAAUUCCUAUUCUCGCUGGGAGUAUAUACUUAUGAAGUUGUUGCUUUUUGCAAGUUUUGGGAGUAAUAAAUGAACCAGUCGCUCAGCAUAUCAAAUUGUGAGAUGAAAUUGUUGUGACAUAUUUCAAAUAAAUGUAGACAUGUGUUUUAACCUCAGAAAGACAAUAAACAAGAAAUUAUAGCUGUUUGUUUCAGUGGAGAAGACCAUCUUGUACUAGCUCCUUACUGAUCCUCUUUUUUAAUCUUUUCAUAUUUUCUUUGCAUCAUAAGAACUGAAUGGUAUAUUUUUUGCUCUAAAUUCUAACCACAGAAAAUAUUGAGUUUCUUCUUCUAUGUUAUAUUCCUUCUUUUAUAUUUAUUCAAACACUAUCUGAAAAAUAUGCUAAUCUUCCACAAAAUUGAAUAGUUCUUUUGGGUAAUUAUUCAUGAAACAAGCUAUUCUGUGGUAGCACACAUGCACUUUAUGUACUAUGCAUUUCCUAUAUGAUUUCUUCAUAUGUCACACGUGUGGUUAAAAAGCUUGGAAUGUGAUUAUCAUUUCUUAUUUACUUAGUUUUUUUUUCUUAUGGCAAUCAGGUCGGAUUGAAGGUGCAUCUGCAUUUUCUUUGUGUAACAUGAAGAUUUCAGAAGUUGAAGUGAAUGGAAAGAUUUCAUAUGUUAGAAUUCUCGCUGGGAGUAUAUACUUAUGAAGUUGUUGCAUUUUGCAACUUUUGGGAGUAAUAAAUGAACCAGUCGCUCAGCAUAUCAAAUUGUCGGAUUGAAGGUGCAUCUGCAUUUUCUUUGUGCAACAUGAAGAUUUCAGAAGUUGAAGCGAAUGGAAAUAUAGAAGAGGGUUUGAAAAAUAGGGAGAACAUCCAACAACGGGCAUCUUGGGCAUUGUCAAGGUGAUUGUGUCGAACUUAAAGACCUUCAUCGACAAGCACAAAUAAUUUAGGAUGUGUUCUGACUUUGUUCUCCUGUUGUCUUUACUUUCUAUUCAUGUAGACCUUUGAACACAUUCUUUAUAUAGUUGUAUGCCCUUUUAAAUAGUAUUUAUUAGCAAGGAGAAACUCUUGUUAGAGUCGAGGCUAAUGUCUUGCUAACUUCAGUUAUGUUAUUGUGAAGCCAAGACCUUAGAAAAUAUUCUUAUAUAAACAAAUGAAAGAUUUUGUUUUUGAUGGGCGUCAAAUAUAUUUAGUUCAAAACUUA